GACGAACGCUGGCGGCGUGCUUAACACAUGCAAGUCGAACGGUAAGGCCCUUCGGGGUACACGAGUGGCGAACGGGUGAGUAACACGUGGGUGAUCUGCCCUGCACUUCGGGAUAAGCCUGGGAAACUGGGUCUAAUACCGGAUAGGACCCUGGGAUGCAUGUCCUGGGGUGGAAAGCUUUUGCGGUGUGGGAUGGGCCCGCGGCCUAUCAGCUUGUUGGUGGGGUGAUGGCCUACCAAGGCGACGACGGGUAGCCGGCCCGAGAGGGUGACCGGCCACACUGGGACGGAGAUACGGCCCAGACUCCUACGGGAGGCAGCAGUGGGGAAUAUUGCACAAUGGGCGCAAGCCUGAUGCAGCGACGCCGCGUGAGGGAUGACGGCCUUCGGGUUGUAAACCUCUUUCAGCACCGACGAAGCGCAAGUGACGGUAGGUGCAGAAGAAGGACCGGCCAACUACGUGCCAGCAGCCGCCGUAA
rnacentral:rRNA from 1 species